rnacentral:rRNA from 1 species
AACGAACGCUGGCGGCAGGCCUAACACAUGCAAGUCGAGCGCGCCUUUCGGGGUGAGCGGCGGACGGGUUAGUAACGCGUGGGAAUAUGCCCUUUGGUACGGAAUAGCCUCGGGAAACUGAGAGUAAUACCGUAUACGCCCUUCGGGGGAAAGAUUUAUCGGAGAAGGAUCGGCCCGCGUUAGAUUAGGUAGUUGGUGGGGUAAUGGCCUACCAAGCCUACGAUCUAUAGCUGGUUUUAGAGGAUGAUCAGCAACACUGGGACUGAGACACGGCCCAGACUCCUACGGGAGGCAGCAGUGGGGAAUCUUGGACAAUGGGGGCAACCCUGAUCCAGCCAUGCCGCGUGAGUGAUGAAGGCCCUAGGGUCGCAAAGCUCUUUCGCCUGUGAAGAUAAUGACGGUAGCAGGUAAAGAACCCCGGCUAACUCCGUGCCAGCCGCCGCGGUAAUU